UUGAGAAGAAGUAUUCGUUUUAAACAACUAAUCCUACAUUUUUUUUACAUGCAGGUUGCAACAAUCUACAAAGAUCCAAGUAUUGGAAAUCUGAUACACAUAGUAGUGGUAAAAUUAGUUAUGAUUCACCGCGAGGAGGUAAGAAACAGGUCUAAAAUUAGUAACCUUAGUUGUAGUAAGCUUUUAGAGACAAUACAUAGAGAUUAUGGAACUCUUAUUAGAAAUGAGAUAUUUUUAAAAUUUUAAAAGACUUGAUUUGAGAAGGAAAAAUAAAUAAGCUUUAACUAUGACAUGACUACUACCACAAACUAACUUCUAAAAUCUAGUUCACAUUAACCUCUCAAAAAGUCUAAACCUAGAGUAACGCACCAUUUUUCCACAUCAAUAAGCAAUACGUACUAUAAAAUCAGUGUUGUAAAUAGUUGAAUCAUUAACCAAGUUCAAUGAAAAACUUUCAUAUUUUUAAUGUCUCUGCUUUUACUUACACAGUAUAUGUAAUAUAGUUUACCCUCAUGAUGAUUCAAUGUCAUCAUCAGCUUCAGUUUUCAUUCUCUCAUGCAAAAUAAUGGUGUUCUCAGAUGUUACAAAGUUG
rnacentral:lncRNA from 1 species